rnacentral:tRNA from 1 species
CAGGGUGUAGCUCAGCUUGGUUAGAGCACCAGACUGGGGGUCUGGGGGUCGGAGGUUCAAAUCCUCUCACCCUGA